rnacentral:rRNA from 1 species
AUGGUCCCCCACACUGGUACUGAGACACGGACCAGAACUCCUACGGGAGGCAGCAGUGAGGAAUAUUGGUCAAUGGGCGAAAGCCUUGAACCAGCCAUGCCGCGUGAAGGAUGACGGCACUAUGUGUUGUAAACUUCUGUUAUACGGGAAGAAACCCCCGAACGUGUUCGGGGUUGACGGUACCGUACGAAUAAGCAUCGGCUAACUCCGUGCCAGCAGCCGCGGUAAUACGGAGGAUGCAAGCGUUAUCCGGAUUUAUUGGGUUUAAAGGGUGCGUAGGCGGAAAUUUAAGUCAGUGGUGAAAUCCUGCGGCUCAACCGUAGAACUGUCAUUGAUACUGAAUUUCUUGAAUACAGUUGAGGUUGGCGGAAUGUGUAAUGUAGCGGUGAAAUGCUUAGAUAUUACACAGAACACCGAUUGCGAAGGCAGCUAACUAAACUGAUAUUGACGCUGAGGCACGAAAGCGUGGGGAGCGAACAGGAUUAGAUACCCUGGUAGUCCACGCCGUAAACGAUGAUCACUCGUUGUUGGCAAUACAUCGUCAGCGACUAAGCGAAAGCAUUAAGUGAUCCACCUGGGGAGUACGAUCGCAAGAUUGAAACUCAAAGGAAUUGACGGGGGCCCGCACAAGCGGAGGAACAUGUGGUUUAAUUCGAUGAUACGCGAGGAACCUUACCUGGGCUUAAAUGUAGAACGACGGACCGGGAAACUGGUCUUUCUUCGGACGGUCUGCAAGGUGCUGCAUGGCUGUCGUCAGCUCGUGCCGUGAGGUGUCGGGUUAAGUCCCAUAACGAGCGCAACCCUCAUCAUUAGUUGCCAGCGGGUAAUGCCGGGGACUCUAAUGAAACUGCCGGUGUAAACCGUGAGGAAGGUGGGGAUGACGUCAAGUCAGCACGGCCCUUAUGUCCAGGGCUACACACGUGUUACAAUGGUCAGUACAAAGGGCAGCUACCUGGUGACAGGAUGCUAAUCUCUAAAACUGAUCUAAGUUCGGAUCGAAGUCUGCAACUCGACUUCGUGAAGUUGGAUUCGCUAGUAAUCGCGCAUCAGCCACGGCGCGGUGAGUACGUUCCCGGGCCUUGUACACACCGCCCGUCAAGCCAUGGAAGCCGGGGGUACCUGAAGUUCGUAACC